CCAGCUCUUAAGAGUAGUGAUGUGGCUGCUGUGUCACAUGUGUGUCAGUUGGUGCCUGAGAGGAGAGAGACGAUGUCUACGCUCAGUGUUCUGACCUGUGAACAUCUGAAAGGUUGGAAGCUUAGCACU